UGAGGAAUAUUGGUCAAUGGGCGAGAGCCUGAACCAGCCAAGUAGCGUGCAGGAAGACGGCCCUAUGGGUUUUAAACUGCUUUUAUGUGGGGAUAAAGUGCGUGACGUGUCAUGCAUUGCAGGUACCACAUGAAUAAGGACCGGCUAAUUCCGUGCCAGCAGCCGCGGUAAUACGGAAGGUCCGGGCGUUAUCCGGAUUUAUUGGGUUUAAAGGGAGCGUAGGCUGUCUAUUAAGCGUGUUGUGAAAUAUACCGGCUCAACCGGUGGCUUGCAGCGCGAACUGGUCGACUUGAGUAUGCAGGAAGUAGGCGGAAUUCAUGGUGUAGCGGUGAAAUGCUUAGAUAUCAUGACGAACUCCGAUUGCGCAGGCAGCUUACUGUAGCAUAACUGACGCUGAUGCUCGAAAGUGCGGGUAUCAAACAGG
rnacentral:rRNA from 1 species